rnacentral:rRNA from 1 species
AUUGAACGCUGGCGGCAUGCUUUACACAUGCAAGUCGAACGGCAGCACGGACUUCGGUCUGGUGGCGAGUGGCGAACGGGUGAGUAAUAUAUCGGAACGUACCCUGGAGUGGGGGAUAACGUAGCGAAAGUUACGCUAAUACCGCAUACGAUCUAAGGAUGAAAGUGGGGGAUCGCAAGACCUCAUGCUCCUGGAGCGGCCGAUAUCUGAUUAGCUAGUUGGUGAGGUAAAGGCUCACCAAGGCGACGAUCAGUAGCUGGUCUGAGAGGACGACCAGCCACACUGGAACUGAGACACGGUCCAGACUCCUACGGGAGGCAGCAGUGGGGAAUUUUGGACAAUGGGGGCAACCCUGAUCCAGCAAUGCCGCGUGAGUGAAGAAGGCCUUCGGGUUGUAAAGCUCUUUUGUCAGGGAAGAAACGGGCUUGGCUAAUAUCCAGGCCUAAUGACGGUACCUGAAGAAUAAGCACCGGCUAACUACGUGCCAGCCGCCGCAGUAA